rnacentral:rRNA from 1 species
GACGAACGCUGGCGGCGCGCUUAACACAUGCAAGUCGAGCGAGAACCAGGGCUUCGGCCCUGGGGACAGCGGCGAACGGGUGAGUAACACGUGGGUAAUCCACCCUCGGCACCGGAAUAGCCCGGGGAAACCCGGAUUAAUGCCGGAUGGCCCGCCGGCCCUGCGGGGCUGGCGGAAAAGGUAGCUUCGGCCUCCGGCCGAGGACGAGCCCGCGACGGAUUAGCUUGUUGGUGGGGUAACGGCCUACCAAGGCUGCGAUCCGUAGCUGGUCUGAGAGGACGAUCAGCCACACUGGGACUGAGACACGGCCCAGACUCCUACGGGAGGCAGCAGUGGGGAAUCUUGCGCAAUGGGCGAAAGCCUGACGCAGCGACGCCGCGUGAGGGAAGAAGGCCUUCGGGUUGUAAACCUCUUUCAGGAGGGACGAAGCCACUCGGGUUAAUAGCCCAGAGGGUGACGGUACCUCCAGAAGAAGCCCCGGCUAACUACGUGCCAGCCGCCGCGGUAACAC